CUAUGUUAGGUCUCUUUUUUGUUUGAUUAGCAUUGUGGACAAAUAUUUACCAUCAAGCAAACUUUUAGGUGUGGUUGGUGCAAUAUUGAUCAAAAAGUAUGCCACAAGAGACUAAGGGUGCACAAGAAAUACACCAAGUUGAUAUGUUUCAUUGACUUGCUGCAGCUUAUUUGAUGUAUUAUGUUUUAUUCAUUGGAUUACAAUGGAAGGCAUGGUGGAAAAUCUUUGAUUUCAUCUCCCUCUUACUCCUAUUGAUGCUCCAAAGUCCCAACAAGACAUCCAAGGAACAGGCUAGAUAAUGUCCCAUUGCAUUCAAAGAUAAUAAGGGCUAAUAUGAACCUUGUAGGCUAUUUAAAAGGAGAUCUGCUAUUUGUUAUUUUUUACUGUUUUGCGAGUAUUAUUAACAUUUUAAAAUAUUAUAAUGAAGGAAUUUACGGCCGUAGUAUCCAUUCAUGAUGUUUGUUUUACCCUUUUUCUUUCAAUUUUGAUUACAAAUAGGAAGCUGAGACUUUUCAAUGUACUUAAUAUCAACUCUUGGGGGCAGGCAAUUGGUUACAAGGUGAGUAAUGAGUGAUCACAUGUCAUGGGUUUCAUGUUUAGAGGUUUGAGUUCUAGUAUUAAAAUAUACACCAUUUCUUAUUAUCUCUCCAUAUUUAUGUGUCUGAUUCCUCAUUUCUCUUCUUCUUUCCCGUAUUCCUUAUGUUAUAGAGACCUAUCCGAUCUUUCAUCAUUAUGUUCUUAGCUCAUGCUAAAACUAUUCACAACCCACUCAACUCCCUUUCCAAUAUAACAUAAUGAUGAAAGAUCGAUCAUCAUUGUUGAGUUUUUAUUAGUUUAAGCAGAGUUGUUUCAAAUCGUUCAUGGGGACAUAUUUACUGUAUAUUGGUGAUUAAUCUGAUUAUUAGGUCAGUGCUUCUUCGCAUUUGAGUUUUGAGGGAUCAGCUUGCUUCAACGAUUAAUCUUGCUUCCAGGAAAUUUCUCUUUUGGAGAUUUAUGAAGAUUAUGAUUUUCGACUAAGCAAUCAGGUUUUGGAUUUUAAGUAUUUUGGGUAAGUAAAAUUUUGUUCACGUUUCUUGAAAUCCUAAUUUUUUAACAUUUUUUGUGUACUUAGGAAAAUCAAGUUAAGUUAUUAGUAGAAAGAUGAAAAUAGUUAGACCAUGCUCAAAAAUCAUGCUCACUUUUAAAGUACAGUGUGCUACUUUUUUUUCAUUAUUUGUUUCUUUGAUAGAGAAUGAAAAUAAUCAUUUUUUUCAUAAUUACUGGGAUAUGUCGUUUUUUUGUUGCUUGGCUUUUUCCCACAAACAAAUUACUGGAAGUUUAUUUCAAAUGGGCGUUUCAUGAUUCCCUAUCUUUUCUCAAACCAAAUAGAUCCUCAACAUAGUACGUACAAUCUUGAGGAAACAAAAUAAACAUUUUUAAAGAAAAAAUUGAGCUAGCGAGCACCCUUAAUGGGUCCAGUUUCUUGGUUUCUACCAAGGCCUAUUGGGCUGCGAUUUUACAAUCCCGAUGUGAUUCUAUAUAAAAUAACUAGAAGCAAAAAUUGCAAGAAGAUUUGGUAACCAAAACAUGUUAAAGAGAGCGAGAAGUCGUCCUAAAAUCUUAGUAAACAUAGGAAAAUAUGAGGAGAACUCGUGUGUCCAUUUUUAAGUAAGUUAUAUAAUGGAGGGCUUUUUUAUAAAGACCUAGAAAUCACUUUAGAUUGCAAGACUGGCGGUUAAGCUAGUUUGCAGCCAAGGUAGGAUAUCUACUAGAGCGACUAGUCAGAUUAGGACUUCCAAAGAUGUUAAAGAUCAUUUUUUUGCGAUCGUAAAGUAUGUUUUGAGCAAUCAAAUGGUGAUUCCAUGAGUCCAAAGGGAUUUCAACUAAGUGUAGUUGUCAAAUGUAUACUCUUAGGUUGUUUUUGGUUUGGGAAUGAAAUCAGGUUUAGCUAGAUUAUGUGGGGUGUUGGAUGUAGAAAUGGAGGAUUAAUUAUUCCAACUUUUCAACGAAGUAAAUUAUUUCUCGGGUAAAUGGUCGCGAGGAGAAAAACUGAAACAUUUAUUGCAUAAAGUUUUUCUGAGCAUAGUGGCACAAGUGAUCAUAUAUGUAUAUAUAUAUGUGUGUGUAUAUAUAUAUAUAUAUAUAUAUAUAUAUAUAUAUAN
rnacentral:lncRNA from 1 species